UACGUAGGCAGCGAGCGUUGUUCGGAGUUACUGGGCGUAAAGAGUGCGUAGGCGGUUUUCUAAGUUUGGUGUGAAAUCUCCCGGCUCAACUGGGAGGGUGCGCCGAAGACUGGAAGGCUAGAGUGUGGGAGAGGUAAGCGGAAUUCCUGGUGUAGCGGUGAAAUGCGUAGAUAUCAGGAGGAACACCUGCGGUGUAGACGGCUUACUGGACCAUAACUGACGCUGAGGCACGAAAGCGUGGGGAGCAAACAGG
rnacentral:rRNA from 1 species